rnacentral:lncRNA from 1 species
GAAAGACUGAAAGUCUGAGGAAAGCCAUGGGCUGAACACCACUGAAGGACAAUACUGUAGCCUGAAAUUGGUAGUUUCUUCUCCCUUUUUCUUUUGAAACAUGAAUGUUAAACCUUCACAGCCAGAGCUCCAGAAAGCAAUUGCUGAGGAAACCAGGGUAACACCAAACCCAACCUCCCUAGCAGUCGGCAGCCACUUUGCAAGAAAACCAGCAACACAAAAACCACAGACACACCUGCCUUUAAACUCACAUAAGUCCUACCCCUUGGCAGUGCACAAAAUACCUCACGAUGAGAUCUGAAAGUCACGCAGACUUGCCUUCUUAGCAUGUUGAAGCAGGAGCAGGAGGGCAGUGGGGUCACCGUCCUGGCUCGGCGCUGGCUGCUGCUGCUGGUGCAUUGUGUUUGCUGUGGUCUCUAGGAAACCUGGAUUCUGUUCCAAGGAGGAGGUGAGACAAGGGCCAGUUUCUGGGUUGCUCCUGCAUAUCCCAUCCAAACCACUCCGCUCAAGCGAAGGUCUUGUGUGGAGUCUGUGUGGUGAGCUUGCAAGGAAUGCGGUGAGAUGCAAAGUGCAAGGGCCGGGCUGUGCACAUCGCACAUCUUCUCAGCACCUGGGAUGCAGAGAGUAAACCAAAAUUGAUGAAAACUAGCAGAGGAUACAGGAUGAAAAGGAGCACAAGGAAAGAUGAAAGACAGAAGAACCAAGGAGCACUGCCUAGACCAUAACAACGUGAGAAGCUGCAAAAGAUAAGAUGAAUGCUUGAAGAUGUCUAAGAAGGUUUCAUCAGCAGCAGGAAGAGAGAAGGCACAGAAAAAAAUCACCAGAAAUUCCUCCAGAAAAUUGCUUCUUAUACUGUCCUCUAGAUUGGCUUAACCCUGAAGUGCAGGUUGACCUGAAUUCAGCUAUGAGAAAUGUCAUUUUGACUUAGUCCAAACAGAAAUCAUCCUGCCUGCUACCCACAACCAGCCGAGCUGCGCAGUCUGGAGGUCUGGGUGGGUGGCAAACCAUGGAGGCCUCUGCAAGGAAGUGGCACUUGUAGAUAAUCCCUUGUGAAUUCUCAUUACACGAAUUGCAAAGUGGUGGUGAUGACAGAUGUGGACAACGGGCUUUCUCAGCGUGUGACAGCCUGUCUGCAUUCAGUGAGCCAAGCUCCAGCCAUCCCUACACAUACUGCUGAUCUCAGCUGAGUGUUGAGGUGCUGUUUUGUGUGGGAGAGAUGUGGAUGUGCUGCAGAAUGAUUUUUGUAGCAGUGAAUUUACUAAUGCACAGAAUAGACUCCUUUUACAACACAAUGCACUCAAUAUUUCUGAUGAAGUGCUGCCAGUUUCUUGAUAGUCGAGCCAUCAACUUUUGGACAAAAUAAUUGCUGGCAAUAUUUUGUGAUUACUCAUUGUUUUCCACCUGCCUCUGAAAGAGUGAAUUAAUUAAGUUUCUCAACAGCCAUAUGAAGCAAGUGUUACAUUAAUUAAAACACGCAUGGCUCUGGAGAACCUACUGUCCAUCCAAGAAGUCAUACUUUAGCCAAAUAAAAUGCAAGUCAGCUUUCUGGUGCAGUGUUGAAACCAAAUGAGAAAUGCAUCUGCGUACCAAACUGUUACAGUGCUCAAAGUGAAAGUCAGAUAAUCACAUUUUACGGGCUCUGCUCCACAUUGUUGUUUUCCAUUGGAAAUCCAUACCAAUAACAAGACAAUAGAAAGAACAACCCACAUAGAGCUACUGCAAGCCUCUAAAU